AGGGGGACAAAACCUGCAGAUAAGGAUGAUCCAAAAACAGGGAAAGGGAGGCCCUCUGCUUGACAGACAGCUGUGCUACUAUGAAGAUCAGCUGGAUAAUGACCAAAGUCUAGAGGCCAUCUCUUUGAUGAAUCAUACAAGUGAAAGUGAGGUCAUCAUGCAGAAGAUGAGGGCAACGCUUGAAUACAGACAGCGCCUUGUCCAUGAUCCAGAGAGGUCCACCACUGUUCUUUCAGUUUUUCCUUGAUUUCUGGAUACUAAAGGAUUGAUUCUUCAAGACUUCACGCUCCUCUUUGGGUCUGAAACUGCUUCCAGACUUUUGGAAAGGUGGCCAACAGCUUUCAAAGCAAUCAUCUUCCAAUCUGAACAGAGAAGGCAGUGAAGCCCAGGAUUCUCCAGAAUGGGACAGUGACAUAUCUUCCUUCCUUCCUUCCUUCUACUCCUGCAUCUUUUAUGACCCCAGGCU